GGACGUGUGGGAGUGGCACGACUACGACUUGUCGUCGCGGGCAAGGGCGGGGCCGUCGUCCUGGCCGUUCGUGAGGUCGACGCACCUGGCUGCACUGUACUCAUUGACCGGUUUGAGGCCACCGUCGCUCCCGUUGGCGUUCUUGAGGUCGUGGACGGAGCGGCUCUUGUUGACAUUCUUGACGUCCCGGAAGGAGCCACCAUCACUGGUGUCGCUGAAGUUCUUGAGGUCGCGUACCGAUUUGUCGUUGUUGACGUUCUUGAGGUCGGAUGCGGAUUUGCCGUUGUUGAAGUUCUUGAGGUCGCGUGGGGAUUGGCCGUUGUUGAAGUUCUUGAGGCAGCGGGUUGAGCCGGCGUUGCUGAUAUUCUUGCGCCCGCAGGCGAAACUGCCAUUGCUGGCGUUCUUGAUGCGGCAGAGGGAGACACCCUUGCUGACGAUCUUGAUGCCGCAGACGUAGCCGCCCUUGGUGAUGUUGUUGAGGCCACGAGCGGAGCCACCGUUGUUGGCGUUCUUGAGGUAGCCGCCGGCGUUGGUGUUCUUGAGGUAGCCGCCGGCGUUGGUGUUCUUGAGGUAGCCGCCGGCGUUGGUGUUCUUGAGGUAGCUGCCGGCGUUGGUGUUCUUGGGGUUGUGGGUGGACCCGCCGGUGACCUCGCCUUCUUCUGACCGAGAAACCUUCCUGGCAACAUGACAGGAUAUUGAUCUUCUUCUUCGAGAUGAGGUGAGGUGAGCUGAGUGGGGUGGAUAUG
rnacentral:lncRNA from 1 species